rnacentral:lncRNA from 1 species
AUGCCAAAACCCACUGAUGUGAUGCUAACCGUGCCAGUAUACCAGCAACAGCAGUAUGGCGUCUCCAGGUUCCUGAAGAUCAAGCCACUGGCUUUGGGGAUUUUGGAACUAUUGCUAGCCUUAUUGGGACUCUGUUUGACAAUCUGGAAUGUUCAUUUUUCUCUUCUCUGGUCACCAAUCAGCUUCAUUUUAACUGGAGUAUUAACAGUCUCGGCAGCAAGCACGUGUAAACCAUGUCUGGUUAGUGUCAGUUUAAAAAAAAAAACGGUAAUAUUUUUGCUUAAGGGGAACUUUAUGGGUUUUAUUUUAAAACAGAUCUUUUGUACUAUAGGUCAAAUCCUCACAAAUGCUCAGUUAUGUCAAUGCGGCAGCAGCUGCUCUGUCUCUCCACUUUCAUUUUUAUUACACUUGGGGUGUGACCUGCUUUCUCCUGAUGGCCUGUGAUACUCUCAUCCUCAUCUUCUCUGUCACUGUUGCUUUAACCUCCUGUUCCUGUUGCUGCAGACCAAAGUCAAGACAUGUCGAGAUCAGUUAUAUGAACGCAGAUUUGCCCGUCAACCAUAUUGUGCUCAUGGGCCAGCCGGACCCCUCUGCAGUGCUACAGUCCGUUAGUUCAGUCAUGUAUGUGCUGCCAGCAGUCCCACCUGCGCCUCUGCCAAAUUACAGUCCAGUACCAACUACACCUCCACCAGCCUACGACCAGGUCUCAGCUGCACCUCCACCAAACUACGGUCCAGUCCCGAGUGCUCCUCCACCAGCAUAUGCGGUAAUUAUGAGAAUUUCUGAGUAACGGUAGGAAAUCUAUUUGUAACUUUUAAUGGUUCUUACAAAUUAAAAUCCUAUAAAUAAUCUCCAUCUUCAAUCAUAAUAUACAAUUAUCGUUGUACUGCACAGCUCUGAUACACUGUGUUUUGUUAUUGCAGUAUGAAGAUUUACAGACCAGAAGAUGAACCGGAUCUCAGUUGGUGUUUACACGUUGGAUUAUGGC